UGAAAGACUUGCGUAGUGAGACGCU
rnacentral:miRNA from 1 species